GGGGAUGUUUUUUGGAUUCGACAGGUAUAGGUCGAGUUUCGACUGCGUUUCGAAGGUUGCGUCUUCGUAAAAACGCUCAGUUUUAAAUUAUAACUGCAAACAAUAAUUCAAACUCUUACGCAGUUGCUGCCUAACAAGUAGCACGCGUAAAUCCGUUCCGGGUUCGUCCAUGAUGCGGCGACGGGUUUCAUAUCUAGUGGACUACGUUAAUGACCGCCGUUUGAGGUUGUUAAAGGAGAUUUUACAAGCUAGCUAGUCAUGGUUGCCCUGAUCAACGGCGUUUUGGCUAGUGAAUUUUAAAUAGUUGAGAUACGAACGUAGAGGUCGAAAUGGCGAUAUGCUUGGACACGGGUUCGACUCCCGUCAUCUCCAUAA
rfam:Lactobacillus pontis DSM 8475 NODE_108, whole genome shotgun sequence.